rnacentral:rRNA from 1 species
AUUGAACGCUGGCGGCAGGCCUAUCACAUGCAAGUCGAACGGUAACAGGAAACAGCUUGCUGUUUCGCUGACGAGUGGCGGACGGGUGAGUAAUGUCUGGGAAACUGCCUGAUGGAGGGGGAUAACUACUGGAAACGGUAGCUAAUACCGCAUAACGUCGCAAGACCAAAGAGGGGGACCUUCGGGCCUCUUGCCAUCAGAUGUGCCCAGAUGGGAUUAGCUAGUAGGUGGGGUAACGGCUCACCUAGGCGACGAUCCCUAGCUGGUCUGAGAGGAUGACCAGCCACACUGGAACUGAGACACGGUCCAGACUCCUACGGGAGGCAGCAGUGGGGAAUAUUGCACAAUGGGCGCAAGCCUGAUGCAGCCAUGCCGCGUGUAUGAAGAAGGCCUUCGGGUUGUAAAGUACUUUCAGCGGGGAGGAAGGGAGUAAAGUUAAUACCUUUGCUCAUUGACGUUACCCGCAGAAGAAGCACCGGCUAACUCCGUG